rnacentral:rRNA from 1 species
GAUGAACGCUGGCGGCGUGCCUAAUACAUGCAAGUCGAGCGAACGGACGAGAAGCUUGCUUCUCUGAUGUUAGCGGCGGACGGGUGAGUAACACGUGGAUAACCUACCUAUAAGACUGGGAUAACUUCGGGAAACCGUAGCUAAUACCGGAUAAUAUUUUGAACCGCAUGGUUCAAAAGUGAAAGACGGUCUUGCUGUCACUUAUAGAUGGAUCCGCGCUGCAUUAGCUAGUUGGUAAGGUAACGGCUUACCAAGGCAACGAUGCAUAGCCGACCUGCGAGGGGAAUCGGCCACACUGAAACUGAGACACGGUCCAGACUCCUACGGGAGGCAGCAGUAGGGAAUCUUCCGCAAUGGGCGAAAGCCUGACGGAGCAACGCCGCGUGAGUGAUGAAGGUCUUCGGAUCGUAAAACUCUGUUAUUAGGGAAGAACAUAUGUGUAAGUAACUGUGCACAUCUUGACGGUACCUAAUCAGAAAGCCACGGCUAACUACGU